rnacentral:rRNA from 1 species
GACGAACGCUGGCGGCGUGCUUAACACAUGCAAGUCGAACGGUGAAGCGCCUUCCUUUUUGGUGGGUGUGGAUGAGUGGCGAACGGGUGAGUAACACGUGAGUAACCUGCCCCCUUCUUCUGGAUAACCGCAUGAAAGUGUGGCUAAUACGGGAUAUUCUGGGUCUGUCGCAUGAUGGGUCUGGGAAAGAUAUUGUUUCGGUGGGGGAUGGGCUCGCGGCCUAUCAGCUUGUUGGUGGGGUGAUGGCCUACCAAGGCGGUGACGGGUAGCCGGCCUGGGAGGGUGGACGGUCACACUGGGACUGAGACACGGCCCAGACUACUACGGGAGGCAGCAGUGGGGAAUAUUGCACAAUGGGCGCAAGCCUGAUGCAGCGACGCCGCGUGAGGGAUGGAGGCCUUCGGGUUGUGAACCUCUUUCGCCAGUGAAGCAGGCCUGCCUCGUUUGUGGGUGGGUUGACGGUAGCUGGAUAAGAAGCGCCGGCUAACUACGUG